GACGGAUCAGAGUGGACUGUCUUAAUUCAAAAUAGAGAAAUGAACAUUAAUAUACAGGUAAGAUCAUGCAUGUUCAUGUUAUAAUGUAAAUAAGGAAUAGUAUUGAAUGUGGUUUCUGCUAUGCAUGUUCAUUUUGUGUGUGUGUGUGUGUAGUAUUAGUAGUAUUAGUAGUAGUAGUAGUAGUAGUAGUAGUAGUAGUAGUAGUAUUCACAGUGUGUAGCACUCCAGGUUGUGUGGGUACCAGCCCAAACCAGACAGUUGAAGCAGGCUCUAACGUCCAUCUGUCCUGCCUCCUCACUCAGUGUUUGAGAAGUCUGGAACAUCACCAUCUCCUUGUGGAGUGGGAGUUCACUGACAAGGGCUGGCUGGAUAAAGAGCUGCACCCUCUCAUCUACCAUUACCAAGACCGGACUGUGCCUGUUGAAGCCAGAGUGAUUCUGGUCAGGGACAUCUCUGAAUGUGACUUCUCCGUCCUGCUGCUGUCGGUGACAGUCCAACGUAGUGGCACCUACCUGUGUCUCCUGUGUCCUCCACCUGGCAGACAUCCAUGAGAGUCACACACAGUUCAGAGAGGGUGCCACAGGAGUUUCCCAGGACAUUUCCAUAAACCUGAUGUAACCCAUCCUGAUUGGCUGUUGCCUCUGGCGGGUGCUGGUUUUGCUCUGCCUGGUGGGCUGAGUCACACCGGGAAUGUGGGCGUGUCGUAGGAGGUCACAGCGGUGAGACAAUGCUGAGAGAAACCAGCAGACUUCCCUCUUCUGCAGGGCCAAGAGGACCUGGCCUUGAUGUCAGUGAUCCUCCACAGAGACGAGGGAGAGAUGGCUCACGCCAGCAUCCAGCCGGACCAGGAGGCCAGGAGGCAACUGCAUUCUCCCCAUCCAGGAGACUGUUCAUAAAGUAGCUACAGAUUGUACACCAGAUAAUGUGAUAUAACCAAAGAUUUUUGGUAUCCAUUAAUGGGCAUUUCAGGUUUGCCUAUACACAACGUUGCCAUAGAUUUUUCAACUAACCUAGUAUUGGUGAUACAAUCCUCAUUCUCGAUGCGGCCGAACAUGUAUCUUCUAAAAUGUCAGUGUCCAACUGCAGGUGGUUUGUUUGAAUUGAAUUGUACGUUGGGAAGAAAUUAGCGUUUGAUAUAUUGUCUCACAUUACAACCGCCAAAAGGACCAAGCGCACAGACAACCGGUAAAGUACGUUAAAAUAUCAUUAAAUUCAACAUUCUUGCUUGUAGAGGUUGUGAGAGGAAACUUUCCUGAUUCAAUGCAAUUCAGCAUCGGUAUACAGACAAAGACAUGGUAGGCUAUCAUAUAUCUUGCCCAAAGUGCCAAAGCUCUUUGAAAGUUUCAUCCUCAGAUUUGUCGCCUUAACAGGAUUUCUAAAGUCUGACGGAGGACUUGAGACAGACACCUUGCAAAUUACAAAGAAAAAAAGAACCGCGGUGCUUGGAUCCAAUCGGUUAAACUGUUCUAGGAAGUGGAAGCAAAUCCCACAAUCCUACAAGCUCUAUCUCCCGCUGGGCUGAACAUCCACACCUGCUCUCAUACAUCAAACAGAUACAGUAUCAGUGGUCCUCCUCUGAGGCCUUUUCAAGGUGCAGUGGAGUGGAGUGCUUAAGUCAUUUGCCGAUCCAUCUUUUCCCUCAGCACAGGGUCAACCAGUGCACCCACCCACCCCGGCCCCUCACCACGAGUACUACUACUACCACCCUGUCACUCGCUAUAAUUACAUGGCUACCUCCCUUCCAACCAAUAAAGCACAUGGGGCCUAAGAUCUCAACCAAAAAAAAGAGCAAGCAGCUUAAACCACUGCAGUUUGAAGCGUAACUACUAAUCCGAGCACAGGCCGAGUCCAAAACUGAUGGAGGAUAUGCAUGUGAACGACUUCUUUUACAAUACUCUCAUAAUCUAGCGUUAAUUCGGACGUUGUACAUACAUUUUACCAAAGGGUAUGGGCAGGGGAUAUUACAGUUUGUGCAGCUGUCAUUACUACCAGUUGUUGCAAGAGUGUAGAUUGCUGAAGUGUGGAAACAUAUUCUAAAAUAAAUCUGUGAGUCUCUGAAAUCCAACUGAGCAGAAAGCUGUGCAUGUGCCAAUAAACGUGAAAAGACUGAGUAUAAUCCGAUGCAGACACUGCAGAGUAGAGGUGGACUCAUUGUACCAGUAAACUGCAAAAUAAUCCCUUGACUGUGCCUCACAGCAAGCCUAUAAGCCCCUGUGUUUUGUGCAUGUACAAUAUUUAGCCUUUAC
rnacentral:lncRNA from 1 species